rnacentral:pre_miRNA from 1 species
AGAGCGGGGUUGAGCCAAGGAUGACUUGCCGCGCAUUAAUAUUGUUUCUUGUUUGGACGAGCAAAAGGUAGUUUUUCGUGGCAAGAAUCCUUGGCUCUACCGCCUUCUGU